GACCUUGCUGUUAUUAUUAUACGGCAUUGUUAUCAUUAUACCGGUUGGGUUGGUAACAGUUUCCUGGCACAAGCUUCCUCGUCUUACCAAUAGAUGGUUCUUCCAUACAGAAUUUCUUGGGUGACCCGAGCGCACCACGUGUCCUCCAUUGAUUUCGCCUGACAAGCAACCCCGAUCAGUCGAGACAGUCUCACCGGGACACUUCAGCGCCUGAUCUCACCCACUGCCUUUUUCACGUAUACAGUUCUUUCAUUGUACAGAAAUUAAGGAAAAAUACAUUCAAAUUCUCUGGAACGACAUGAGAGUGGUUGGCGCUUUUCGUCGAGCAGUUCUGGUAUAAAGUUGGACACGACAUCGAUAUCGUAGGUACCCCAGUCGAUACCGGUAGCCUGGGGUAGAGGGUGCGAAAGAGCAAUUAACUCUCAAGUGUUUCCUGCAAGGUGUGACUCGGCCGUCAAGGCAUAAAAGGAAGGGACGCUAACCACCUGACACCAAGGAUACCGAGCUACAACCGACGGGUCUCUAUGUACGGUCAUGAAACGAUCUUACGUAUCUGAUGGAGGAUACUUGGCGACAGGAUCGUCAUAACAGCCGGAACUGCGGAUAGGGACUUUGCCAUUUCUUUGGAACGGUUACGAGUCUUCGGGUCAGGGACGAUAAGUACAGGUCGUGAAAGGAUUUCUAGAUGCUGAUCUUCCGUACUAACCUCGAACCAAGAUCACCCCUGGGUCCC